AAGACCAAUUUCUCAAUGGUCAGCAGAAUAUUCAUCCAGAGAAAUAAGUGGCCAAAUCUGAAAUCCUACAAGUGUGUAUUUAACCAAGGCAAUGGAGAAAGGAAGUUUCCAGAAAAUGAUAAAGUUCUUACUGGUCUUGCAAGUGCACCCACAGUCAAACUCCUGCUAUCCCCAAGUGAAAGCCAAUCUGAGAAAAGCCCCCUGCAUCUGGUGUGUUCUGCAUCUGGGUUCAGUCCAACAAUCAAGUGGCGUAGUCAAGAUCAACCGAAGAGGAGCACAACUGAGAGAAGAGCAAGAGGAUCAGAUGGUCGCUUCAGUGUAACUAGUGAGCUGGAGGUACCCAAGAGCGAGUGGAACAGAGGAGAUGUUUUCCAGUGUGAAGUGGAGGACCCAUUUCUUCUGCACACCAGGAAAGAAAACAUCAGUAAAUGUUCAGUGCUUCAGAGUUCUCCUAGGAAUGCAGCAGUGUUUCUCAUUGGACCAUCGAUCCAAGACAUUUCUCAGGGAAAACAACUCACUGCCACAUGUCUGGUGAUUGGCUACAACCUACAGGAAUUUUCCAU